CCUCAGGACCAGUGAAUAGCAUAAAUUAAGGCAUGGUUAGCCGCCACCCUAUUCUUCUUUUUUUCCCUCAUACCUCACGCACCAGUGAAGAAUACGGAGGCUCGAGUGGACCAUCACUUGCUGGACAGCUGAUCCACCUUACACCAUUUGGAAGGGAGCCGACCACAGAAGCAGUGGAUAGGAGCCGGUGAUUCCAGGAGUGUACACUACGUGCCUGAUACCCCAAGCGGCGACUUCUGUCUGUUUCCCAUGUUUUCACACAUGUCAUAUACGUACCUUUGCCCAGGAAGCUGGUGAGUAGACACUGCCUGGAGAAGUAUGCAGC